AUUGAACGCUGGCGGCAGGCCUAACACAUGCAAGUCGAACGAGUGGCGGACGGGUGAGUAAUGUCUGGGAAACUGCCUGAUGGAGGGGGAUAACUACUGGAAACGGUAGCUAAUACCGCAUACCAUCGGAUGUGCCCAGAUGGGAUUAGCUAGUAGGUGGGGUAAAGGCUCACCUAGGCGACGAUCCCUAGCUGGUCUGAGAGGAUGACCAGCCACCCUGGAACUGAGAAACGGUCCAGACUCCUCCGGGAGGCAGCAGUGGGGAAUAUUGCACAAUGGGCGCAAGCCUGAUGCAGCCAUGCCGCGUGUAUGAAGAAGGCCUUUGGGUUGUAAAGUCCUUUCAGCGGGGAGGCGUUACCCGCAGAAGAAGCACCGGCUAACUCCGUGCCAGCCGCCGCGGUAAUUC
rnacentral:rRNA from 1 species